rnacentral:rRNA from 1 species
ACGUAGGGUCCAAGCGUUGUCCGGAUUUACUGGGCGUAAAGAGCGCGUAGGCGGUCUGUUAAGUGUGAAGUGAAAUCUCCAGGGCUCAACCCGGAAACCGCUUCGCAUACUGGCAGACUGGAGGGAUGCAGAGGUGAGUGGAAUUCCUGGUGUACCGGUGAAAUGGGUAGAUAUCAGGAGGAACACCCAUGGCGAAGGCAGCUCACUGGGCAUCUCCUGACGCUGAGGCGCGAAAGUGUGGGUAGCAAACAGGAUUAGAUACCCUGGUAGUCCACACCCUAAACGAUGGAUACUCGGCGUAAGGGGUAUCGACCCCCCUUGUGCCGCAGCUAACGCACGAAGUAUCCCGCCUGGGAGUACGGCCGCAAGGUUG